rnacentral:rRNA from 1 species
AUACGGAGGAUCCGAGCGUUAUCCGGAUUUAUUGGGUUUAAAGGGAGCGUAGGUGGACAGUUAAGUCAGUUGUGAAAGUUUGCGGCUCAACCGUAAAAUUGCAGUUGAUACUGGGUGUCUUGAGUACAGUAGAGGCAGGCGGAAUUCGUGGGGUAGCGGGGAAAUGCUUAGAUAUAACGAAGAACUCCGAUUGCGAAGGCAGCCUGCUGGACUGUAACUGACGCUGAUGCUCGAAAGUGUGGGUAUCAAACAGGAUUAGAUACCCUGGUAGUCCGCACAGUAAACGAUGAAUACUCGCUGUUUGCGAUACACUGUAAGCGGCCAAGCGAAAGCGUUAAGUAUUCCACCUGGGGAGUACGCCGGCAACGGUGAAACUCAAAUGAAUUGACGGGG